rnacentral:rRNA from 1 species
ACUCAAAGGAAUUGACGGGGGCCCGCACAAGCGGUGGAGCAUGUGGUUUAAUUCGACGCAACGCGAAGAACCUUACCAGGGCUUGACAUCAAGUGAAAGACUAAGAGAUUAGUCCCUCUCUUCGGAGACACGAAGACAGGUGGUGCAUGGUUGUCGUCAGCUCGUGUCGUGAGAUGUUGGGUUAAGUCCCGCAACGAGCGCAACCCCUAUUGUUAGUUGCCAGCAAGUAAAGUUGGGCACUCUAGCGAGACUGCCGUGGACAACACGGAGGAAGGCGGGGAUGACGUCAAAUCAUCAUGCCCCUUAUGUCCUGGGCUACACACGUGCUACAAUGGACGGUACAAAGGGCAGCGAAGCCGCGAGGUGGAGCAAAUCCCAUAAAGCCGUUCUCAGUUCGGAUUGUAGUCUGCAACUCGACUACAUGAAGUCGGAAUCGCUAGUAAUCGCAGGUCAGCACACUGCGGUGAAUACGUUCCCGGGCCUUGUACACACCGCCCGU